GAUGAAGAACGUAGCGAAAUGCGAUAAGUAAUGUGAAUUGCAGAAUUCAGUGAAUCAUCGAAUCUUUGAACGCACAUUGCGCCCGCCAGUAAUCUGGCGGGCAUGCCUGUCCGAGCGUCAUUUCAACCCUCGAACCCCUCCGGGGGGUCGGCGUUGGGGAUCGGCCCUUUACGGGGCCGGCCCCGAAAUACAGUGGCGGUCUCGCCGCAGCCUCUCCUGCGCAGUAGUUUGCACACUCGCAUCGGGAGCGCGGCGCGUCCACAGCCGUUAAACACCCCAAACUUCUGAAAUGUUGACCUCGGAUCAGGUAGGAAUACCCGCUGAACUUAAGCAUAUCAAUAAGCGGAGGA
rnacentral:misc_RNA from 1 species